UACGGAGGGUGCAAGCGUUGUCCGGAUUUAUUGGGUUUAAAGGGUGCGUAGGCGGUUCUUUAAGUCCGGGGUGAAAGCCCACUGCUCAACAGUGGAACUGCCCUGGAAACUGGAGAACUUGAGUACAGACGAGGGCGGCGGAAUGGAAGCUGUAGCGGUGAAAUGCAUAGAUAGCUUCCAGAACCCCGAUUGCGUAGGCAGCUGACUAGGCUGGUACUGACACUGAGGCACGAAAGCGUGGGGAGCGAACAGG
rnacentral:rRNA from 1 species